UCCUGAUCGUCUCCUAAAAGGUCGUAUCCUCCGAUCGUAGCUGAUCGUAACCAUUCAAGUUAACGUGUCGAUUUACACCGACUUCUUUCAAAACGGGCGGAGACGAACAAGUGAAAGGUUUUUAGACGUCAUUUCACCCCGAUGACACCAUGGAUGAGGAGAUGCUGAUUCUAGAAGUCUAGAAGUAGAUUUCCUCCUCUGGAAGGACACAAUCUACUGCUUAUAUGUCUAUGUGUCUGUCUUUAGAGAGACAACUCGUUAUCGUGUGAUUGAACGUGAAUCUGCAGGUUCUUGGGAGUUCUCCUGAUU